rnacentral:misc_RNA from 2 species
ACACCCAUCAAGCCUGGCUUGGUAUUGGGCGGCGGGACCUCCCCGCGCCCCGAUUUCGCCGGCUGGACGACCCCGAUCUCUCAAGCGUUGUACAAUCUCGCUAGCUGGACGGGCGGCCACGCCGUUAACCUUAAUCAAUUCA